GGAGAGGUGGCAGAGUGGUUGAAUGCGGCACACUCGAAAUGUGUUAACAGUUAAUAGCUGUUCGGGGGUUCGAAUCCCUUCCUCUCCG
rnacentral:tRNA from 7 species